CCGUGCCACGCCGGAAGUUCGGUGAGUGGCGGAGGGAGGGAGGCCGAGCCGAGUCCGCAACUUGUGAAUAACCGCAAACAAAACAACGAUAAGCCGCGUGAUUAACCCUUCCACUGCUUGCCGGGACGUGAGCGCUCGGGACUACAAGGCCAGUGUUUUUUUUCACUUUUUAUUUUUAUUUUUUAAACUAAACCCGUCUAGCAGGAGAGAACGAGCCCCAUCUACAAAUAAUGUCUGGCGUCGUGCGAGGGCCGGCGGGGAAUAACGAUUGCCGAAUUUACGUGGGCAACCUCCCGCCCGAUAUCCGCACCAAAGACGUGGAGGAAGUCUUCUACAAGUACGGCAACAUUCGAGACAUCGACCUAAAAAACCGCAGAGGAGGACCGCCGUUCGCCUUUAUUGAGUUCGAAGACCCAAGGGAUGCUGGGGAUGCCGUUUACGGCCGGGAUGGAUACGACUACGAUGGCUACCGGCUGCGCGUUGAGUUCCCCCGGAGCGGGAGGGGCUCCAGAGGCAGCAGUUUGGGCGGUAGCGGAGGCGCAGCCCCGAGAGGCCGGUAUGGGCCCCCAUCCAGACGCUCCGAGUAUCGGGUGGUUGUGUCCGGACUCCCUCAGAGCGGCAGCUGGCAGGACCUGAAGGACCACAUGCGCGAGGCCGGCGACGUGUGCUAUGCCGACGUGUACCGAGACGGGACCGGUGUUGUAGAGUUUGUGCGCAAGGAAGACAUGACCUAUGCCGUCCGAAAGCUGGACAACUCCAAAUUCCGUUCGCACGAGGGAGAGACGGCAUACGUUCGCGUGAAAUUAGACGGUCCCCGCAGCCCGAGUUACGGACGAUCCCGCUCCCGCAGCCGCGGCAGCCAGAGCAGGAGCCGCAGUCGCACCCCCAGCCGCAGCAGGAGCCGGAGCCGCAGCAACUCCAGAGGACGCGGACGGGCGUCGCCACGCUACUCGCCGCGACACAGCUGCUCUCGAUCACGAUCGCGCUCCUAGAAAACCUGGUGGCGUUCAUCCCUUUUCGCCCUCCCUUUCUCCCGCCCUGUGAUGUAACUAGGGUUGCAAAGGGGCGGGGAAUUCUGUCACAUUUCUCAGAUGUUUCUGACAUCUGAAGAGAAGGAUUAAAGUGAUUUGGAAUAAAAACCGAUUGUGGUGGAGCACAUUUCAUUUGUAUGGUCAGGAUAGGACAUCAAAUGGAGGCCAUGGUAUGCUUCACAUUCUGUCAAUUCUUGUCAUUUCUUUAUUCUUGUCAUGCAUGUCAUAGAAUUGAAACACACCUCUUUGGCCUGUGACAGACAAAAAGUGUUGUGAUGUAUGUGUAACAUCUUUGCUGUCAUGUGUAAAUGAAAAAUCCGACUUGUGUGAGGGAAUUAUUUUCUACCUGCUCUUGCAUUUUAAAAAAGUUAAUUUUUUUUGCCCCCAAUUUUUUUGUACAUUGUGUUCUAAUGGUCUGCCUCUGAUUUUCUUCCUGGUAUUUCAAGGUUUUGAUUGGAGAGGAGUGGCUCAGUGGAUCGCAAUCCUUUGGAGCUGGAUCGAUUUUUAGGAAAGGGAUAAUAGGCAAGGAUGGAUGAUCGGGAACGGGAUCAGUAUUCCAGGAUUUCCCAGCAAAAUUUUCAGAACUAAUUAAUAGGGGACCUCCCGGAGCAACUUUAAAAACAUUUUUGUUUGUUUGUUUUUUAAUAGCCUGCCAUCUGCCUAUCUUUUAUGAAGUCUUUCAGUGAUAAUGACGAGAAAAACAGAGGACCAGGAAGUUGGAUCAAAGGAUGGAAUCGUAGAUGCCUGGUAUGCGGGGAAAAUUUGGGGAGGGUUUCAUAUGGGGUACUAGUUUGAGUGUUGAUUUCUUUGCUUAAUCCUUUUUUCUUCUAGCAUUUUCAAUAAAACAUCUUCAAGAAGA